rnacentral:rRNA from 1 species
UAACACAUGCAAGUCGAGGGGCAGCGGGGAUAAGCUUGCUUAUCCGCCGGCGACCGGCGCACGGGUGCGCAACGCGUAUAGAAUCUACCUUGUACUGGGGAAUAGCCCAGAGAAAUUUGGAUUAAGGCCCCAUAGUAUGUAGAGGUGGCAUCACCUUUAUAUUAAAGGCUACGGUACAAGAUGACUAUGCGUCCCAUUAGUUAGUUGGUAAGGUAACGCCUUACCGAGGCAGCGAUGGGCAGGGGCCCUGAGAGGGGGAUCCCCCACACUGGCACUGAGACACGGACCAGACUCCUACGGGAGGCAGCAGUGAGGAAUAUUGGACAAUGGGCGAGAGCCUGAUCCAGCCAUGCCGCGUGCAGGAAGACGGUCCUAUGGAUGGUAAACUGCUUUUAUACGGGAAGAACAAAGAGGCACGUGUGCCCUUCUGACGGUACCGUAAGAAUAAGGAUCGGCUAACUCCGUGCCAGCAGCCGCGGUAAUACGGAGGAUCCAAGCGUUAUCCGGAAUCAUUGGGUUUAAAGGGUCCGUAGGCGGGGCAUUAAGUCAGGGGUGAAAGUCUGCAGCUCAACUGUAGAAUUGCCCUUGAUACUGGUGGUCUUGAGUUAUAGUGAAGUAACUAGAAUAUGUAGUGUAGCGGUGAAAUGCAUAGAUAUUACAUAGAAUACCGAUUGCGAAGGCAGGUUACUAACUAUAUACUGACGCUGAUGGACGAAAGCGUGGGGAGCGAACAGGAUUAGAUACCCUGGUAGUCCACGCCGUAAACGAUGGAUACUAGCUGUCCGGAUGCAAAUCUGGGCGGCCAAGCGAAAGUGAUAAGUAUCCCACCUGGGGAGUACGUCCGCAAGGAUGAAACUCAAAGGAAUUGACGGGGGCCCGCACAAGCGGUGGAGCAUGUGGUUUAAUUCGAUGAUACGCGAGGAACCUUACCAGGGCUUAAAUGUGGUCUGACAGCUUUAGGGAUAGAGUUUCCUUCGGGCAGAUCACAAGGUGCUGCAUGGUUGUCGUCAGCUCGUGCCGUGAGGUGUCAGGUUAAGUCCUAUAACGAGCGCAACCCCUGCCGUUAGUUGCCAGCAUGUAAUGAUGGGGACUCUAACGGGACUGCCGGUGCAAACCGCGAGGAAGGUGGGGAUGACGUCAAAUCAUCACGGCCCUUACGUCCUGGGCCACACACGUGCUACAAUGGCCGGUACAGAGAGCAGCCACUGGGCAACCAGGAGCGAAUCUAUAAAACCGGUCACAGUUCGGAUCGGGGUCUGCAACUCGACCCCGUGAAGCUGGAAUCGCUAGUAAUCGGAUAUCAGCCAUGAUCCGGUGAAUACGUUCCCGGGCCUUGUACACCCCGCCCGUCAAGCCAUGGAAGCCGGGAGUGCCUGAAGUCCGUCACCGCAAGGAGCGGCCUAGGGCAAGAUCGGUAACUAGGGCU